rnacentral:rRNA from 1 species
UAGGGAAUCUUCCACAAUGGACGCAAGUCUGAUGGAGCAACGCCGCGUGAGUGAAGAAGGUUUUCGGACCGUAAAGCUCUGUUGUUGGUGAAGAAGGAUAGAGGUAGUAACUGGCCUUUAUUUGACGGUAAUCAACCAGAAAGUCACGGCUAACUACGUGCCAGCAGCCGCGGUAAUACGUAGGUGGCAAGCGUUGUCCGGAUUUAUUGGGCGUAAAGCGAGCGCAGGCGGAAGAAUAAGUCUGAUGUGAAAACCCUCGGCUUAACCGAGGAAUUGCAUCGGAAACUGUUUUCUUGAGUGCAGAAGAGGAGAGUAGAACUCCAUGUGUAGCGGUGGAAUGCGUAGGUAUAUGGAAGAAUACCAGUGGCGAAGGCGGCUCUCUGGUCUGCAACUGACGCUGAGGCUCGAAAGCAUGGGUAGCGAACAGGAUUAGAUACCCUGGUAGUCCAUGCCGUAAACGAUGAGUGCUAAGUGUUGGGAGGCUUCCGCCUCUCAGUGCUGCAGCUAACGCAUUAAGCACUCCGCCUGGGGGAGUACGACCGCAAGGUUGAAAC